rnacentral:rRNA from 1 species
GCGGAGGAAAAGAAACCAACAGGGAUUGCCUCAGUAACGGCGAGUGAAGCGGCAAAAGCUCAAAUUUUAAAGCUGGCAUCUUCGGUGUCCGCGUUGUAAUUUUGUGAGGCAUCUCCGGGUAGGGCGCCGGCCUAAGUUCCUUGGAACAGGACGUCACAGAGGGUGAGAAUCCCGUGCUUGGCUGGCUGUCCCCGUCCAUGUGAGGUGUCUUCGACGAGUCGAGUUGUUUGGGAAUGCAGCUCAAAAUGGGUGGUAAAUUUCAUCUAAAGCUAAAUAUUGGUGGGAGACCGAUAGCGCACAAGUAGAGUGAUCGAAAGAUGAAAAGCACUUUGAAAAUAGAGUUAAAAAGUACGUGAAAUUGUUGAAAGGGAAGCGCUUGAGACCAGACUUCGGUAGGGGGUGAUCAGCCGUGCUUCGGCGCGGUGCACUUGUUCCUCUCCGGGCCAGCAUCGGUUGAGGCGGCGGGAUAAAGGUCCCGGGAAUGUGGCUCCUUCACGGGAGUGUUAUAGCCCGGGUGAAUGCCGCCAGCCUCGACCGAGGACCGCGCCCGCAAGGGUUAGGAUGCUUGGCAUAAUGGUCUUCAGCGACCCGUCU